ACGGAAUAGAUACCCGGGUAGUCCACGCCCUAAACGAUGUCUACUAGUUGUCGGGGAUUCAUUUCCUUGGUAAACGCAGCUAAACGCGUGAAAGUAGACCGCCUGGGGAGUACGGCCGCAAGGUUAAAACUCAAAGGAAUUGACGGGGACCCGCACAAGCGGUGGAUGAUGUGGAUUAAUUCGAUGCAACGCGAAAAACCUUACCUACGCUUGACAUGCCAGGAACUUUCCAGAGAUGGAUUGGUGCCCGAAAGGGAACCUGGACACAGGUGCUGCAUGGCUGUCGUCAGCUCGUGUCGUGAGAUGUUGGGUUAAGUCCCGCAACGAGCGCAACCCUUAUCCUUAGUUGCUACGCAAGGGCACUCUAGGGAGACUGCCGGUGACAAACCGGAGGAAGGUGGGGAUGACGUCAAGUCCUCAUGGCCCUUAUGUGUAGGGCUUCACACGUCAUACAAUGGUCGGUACAGAGGGUCGCCAACCCGCGAGGGGAGCCAAUCCCAGAAAACCGAUCGUAGUCCGGAUUGCAGUCUGCAACUCGACUGCAUGAA
rnacentral:rRNA from 1 species